ACGAAGGUGACUAGCGUUGUUCGGAAUCACUGGGCUUAAAGAGCACGUAGGCGGCCUGUCAAGCGUCUUGUGAAAUCCCUCGGCUCAACCGAGGAAUGGCUGGGGGAACUGGCAGGCUUGAGGUAGGUAGGGGCGCACGGAACUCUUGGUGGAGCGGUGAAAUGCGUAGAUAUCAGGAGGAACGCCGGUGGCGAAGGCGGCGCGCUGGGCCUAUCCUGACGCUGAGGUGCGAAAGCCAGGGGAGCAAACGG
rnacentral:rRNA from 1 species